CAAAGGAAUUGACGGGGCCGCACAAGCGGCGGAGCAUGUCGGAUUAAUUCGAUGCAACGCGAAGAACCUUACCAAGGCUUGACAUACACCGGUUAACGCCCAGAGAUGGGUGCCCCUUUGUGGUCGGUGUACAGGUGGUGCAUGGUUGUCGUCAGCUCGUGUCGUGAGAUGUUGGGUUAAGUCCCGCAACGAGCGCAACCCCUAUUGUUAGUUGCCAUCAUUCAGUUGGGCACUCUAGCGAGACUGCCGGUAAUAAACCGGAGGAAGUGGGAUGACGUCAAAUCAUCAUGCCCCUUAUGACCUGGGCUACACACGUGCUACAAUGGUUGGUACAACGAGUUGCGAGUCGGUGACGGCGAGCUAAUCUCUUAAAGCCAAUCUCAGUUCGGAUUGUAGGCUGCAACUCGCCUACAUGAAGUCGGAAUCGCUAGUAAUCGCGGAUCAGCACGCCCGCGGUCGAAUACGUUCCGGGCCUU
rnacentral:rRNA from 1 species